AUGAGUCUUCUUUGUUGGAAUUGUCGUGGGGCUGGCAAACCUGCGACAGUUCGAGAGCUUCGUGAUCUCACGAGGCAGUUUGCCCCCUCUGUACUAUGCAUUUUAGAAACCCAAAUAGAGGGGUCUAGAGUUGAGAAUAUGGCUGACAACUUAGGUUUCAGCCAGAGUUUUGCUGUAAACAAUUCUGGUAGAAGUGGAGGUCUUGGAAUUUUUUGGAAUGAUGAAAUAAAUGUUGAGGUUGUCGGUUACUCAGAGUACCACAUUGACGUUUUAAUUGACAGGCUUAUGGAGACCCAGAUCAGAGUGACGUUUGUGUAUGGAGAGGCCCAAGUGCCAGAGAGAUACAAAACAUGGAAUUUGCUAAAAAGCAUAGUGGGAUCCUAAAUACUGCCUUGGGUCGUGCUAGAGGAUUUCAAUGAGGUUUUGCAUGGCCAUGAACAUGAUGGAGUGGGUCCUCGCAGCCAAGCUCAAAUGGAUGGAUUCAGAGAUGUUGUUGAUACUUGUGCUCUAACAGAUAUAGGCAUGUGGGAACAAGCUGGACUUUUGAGAAAAAAGUUGCAGGAGGAUCAUAUACUAGGGUCAGGAUGGACAGGUGCUUGGUUAAUCCAGCAUGGGCUCUAA
rnacentral:rRNA from 1 species